ACGGGAGGCAGCAGUGGGGAAUAUUGCACAAUGGAGGAAACUCUGAUGCAGCGACGCCGCGUGAGUGAAGAAGUAUUUCGGUAUGUAAAGCUCUAUCAGCAGGGAAGAAAAUGACGGUACCUGACUAAGAAGCUCCGGCUAAAUACGUGCCAGCAGCCGCGGUAAUACGUAUGGAGCAAGCGUUAUCCGGAUUUACUGGGUGUAAAGGGAGCGUAGACGGCGUGGCAAGUCUGAUGUGAAAGCUAUGGGCUCAACCCAUAAACUGCAUUGGAAACUGUCAUGCUAGAGUGUCGGAGAGGUAAGCGGAAUUCCUAGUGUAGCGGUGAAAUGCGUAGAUAUUAGGAGGAACACCAGUGGCGAAGGCGGCUUACUGGACGAUAACUGACGUUGAGGCUCGAAAGCGUGGGGAGCAAACAGGAUUAGAUACCCUGGUA
rnacentral:rRNA from 1 species